rnacentral:misc_RNA from 1 species
UCCUAUUCAGACGAUUGACAUCAUUACACAUUUAUGCACACCUUCAUCUUCAAACCCUCCUCUCCUCUGUUAUAAUAAUUUACUGAGGCCCCAACUUCCCCUUAGCAGUUACACGAUAAGCCCUUCUUUGCUACCUUAUUCCGUAUUGUGGUACCUCACACUUUAAAGCCUAAAUCAUUCAGGGGUCCUGAACAUAAAUCUUCCCUUGCCACGACAAAUAUGAGAUGAAUUGAGGACACAAGCAUAAGCAUUAUUGAAUGAACCGCAAUUCCAAGUUGCACUUUCUUGCUCUGGCACAGGCAUCAACAACCCACUACAUGCAUUUUGGCAACUUCAGCCCAUUGAACGUAUAUACCAAGAAUCAGACUAAAAUUACACCCAACUCCAUGCGUUUGUAACAGCAAGGGCUUUCAACCAUACACAAUACAGUUUUAAGUAACAUUUCAAAACACCAGCAAGAAAGCGCUAAAAUCCCUCAUUUUCUAUAUAUUUUUUUAAAUGGCUAGAAGAAAGAUAAAUAUGUAAAGGAAAGAUAAUAACAAUAAUAUUCUCAUGGCAUUGACAAAAAGCCACAUCAAUCCAUGAAUUGUUCCAGGAAUAAACUGAAGAACACCAAUAGUUAGUGGUUUCAAGUACAUAAGAUGCAUUGCACGCGCCAUCUCCAUCAGAUGCCAUGAAGAGGGGAAGAGUAUCCAAUCUAGUCCAACCUGAUCAAGGUUUUCUCAUGCCCCUGAUACUUCAACCAUCUCCUGUUCCACUGUGCUGGGCAUAACCGGAUAGUAUUUAUAGUGGAGUUCUCCAACAUCAUCACCCGAUAGCUUCUUCCAUCCAUUUGGUCCCACAUAAUAAACACUAGCAACUCCACCACUGGCUCCAUCUCGGAAUGUAGCAUGAUAAAUAGCCCUUCUAGCCAACUCUGCAGCUUCUUCAAUUGACAAAUCAUACCGGUACCCACUAUCUAGUACACCAUAAGCAUAUGGAGAACCAGAUCCAACGGAGAAUCUUGUUCCUUUCAGCCUUCCUCCUUCACUGUCCACAUAAUAUAAUCCAGGACCCGUUUCAUCCCAUCCAGCAAUCAUGGUCCCAACAGAAAGACCCAUUCCACGGUAGGAGUACAGUAUGUUUGCCAGAAGCUUUGAUGCCCCUGUAACUGAAAUUCUACGCUUGUUUGCCAAUUCAUGUAGUCGACACUAAGUCAUGCCAAAUAAUUUCCAUUAGCACUUGGGAAACAAAUCACAAUAAACAUCAAAGGAAUCCUAAAUUAGGAUGCAAUUCUUCUUGUGAUCACAUAUUCAAUCCUAUGCAAAAGCAAACACCACAUAUAGGCACUAAAAGUAGUUUCCAUUCUAGGUGAUCAGGGAGCAAGAAUCACAUAAUCCCAAAGGAAGUUUGAUCUUAAACACGAUGAAGCUGUAAAAAAGAAUCCCCAGCACUAACAUAUUCAGUCUGAGGCUCAGGUGAGUUGGAGUUAAGCUGAAAAAUAUGUACAUUUUGUCUUAUUACUUCAUUUAAUAUGACAAAGAUUUUAAGAAGAAAACCUCAGCUAAGAGGUCUAGUGUAAUUUACUGACACUUGCAACAGAUAAAACAUAUGAAUAUAUAUAGGUAUCAUCAACUGCUAGCAGAAAUUGUCCACAGGUGAAAUAGCAAUAUUAUCAGAAUUCAACAAGUAUAAGUUUUCAAUGUCUUCCCCUCUUUUGGCUGACAAGACAUGCAUUAACUGUGCAAUAACAUCGAGCUAGAAUGUUUGUAAUCAUCCCCUUAUUUUGGAAAAAUGUUUCAAUCAUGUUUACAUUUUUUGUUGGUUUUGAGUUGCCAAGUGUAAUUAAAUAUGAUUGACUCUAUAAUAGUAAAUCAUUACUCAGUGCUUUCUCCGUGAAAAUUAAUGAUGUCAAAGAUAGAUUAGUUAUAGAAAGUAUGUGUAAAAAAUGAAAAAUAUGUAUUAGUCCUACAUGUGAAAUAAAUCAAGCAGACAUGAAAAUGUCAAGGCAAUUACUGCACUUCAGCUCACCAUCUUUAGAACCAUACUUAAUGCAUGCAACAGGGCGUAGAGAUAGUUUGGGCAGUGGGCAGUACGAAGUUCUUAAUCUACUCUACCUAAAAAUGAAUGUCUACAUCAGCAAUUGCCUGGAAGGUCAACAAAAAACAAAAAUCCAAUUUCUUUAUAAAAAGCAAAACUUUGCAAAUAUGCAUUCUCCAAAUAGAUCAGAACUGGCAGUGGCACAAAGCAUAUAAUAUACAAAUGCUAGCCUACAAUAAUAGCUGCAAUUUUCAGUUUGACAUAAUCCUUUCCAAAGACAUCAUCACCCCCUUAACUUUCAAAAGAACCUACAGGUCCAUGGGCAUAGGAUAACACUUAAGAAAGCAACAAAAGUUCA